rnacentral:rRNA from 1 species
UACGAAGGGUGCAAGCGUUACUCGGAAUUACUGGGCGUAAAGCGUGCGUAGGUGGUUCGUUGAGUCUGAUGUGAAAGCCCUGGGCUCAACCUGGGAAUGGCAUUGGAAACUGGCGGCCUAGAGUGCGGUAGAGGGUAGUGGAAUUCCCGGUGUAGCAGUGAAAUGCGUAGAGAUCGGGAGGAACAUCCGUGGCGAAGGCGACUACCUGGACAAGAACUGACACUGAGGCACGAAAGCGUGGGGAGCAAACAGG